GCUAUCACAGUUACGGCGUCCGGUGUAAUACGGAGGUGGCAAGCGGUGGACGGAAUGAUUGGGCGUAAGGAGCUCGUAGGCGGUCUGUCGCGUCGGAUGUGAGAACCCAGGGCUCAACCCUGGGGCUGCAUUCGAUACGGGCAGGCUAGAAGUCGGUAGGGGAGUCUGGAAUUCCUGGUGUAGCGGUGAAAUGCGCAGAUAUCAGGAGGAACACCGGUGGCGAAGGCGGGACUCUGGGCCGAUAUUGACGCUGAGGAGCGAAAGCGUGGGGAGCGAACAGGAUUAGAUACCCGAGUAGUC
rnacentral:rRNA from 1 species